rnacentral:rRNA from 1 species
CACCGCGGUUAUACGAGAGGCCCAAGUUGAUAACAGUCGGCGUAAAGCGUGGUUAGGACAUCAACCCUACUAAAGUCGAAUGUCCUCAAAGCUGUUAUACGCACCCGAGGAUAAGAAGUUCAAAUACGAAAGUAACUUUAUAAGUCUGAACCCACGAAAGCUACGGCA